rnacentral:lncRNA from 1 species
CUGCUUAUGAGCAACAGCUGGGAGCCAAGCGCUUGUAUUUACACAGCUAAGGCCACAGUCCCUGCAACGGAUGAGGAGGGAGCCGUGUGUUGAAUCACAGAGAAAAUUAGUUGUUUAUGGUCAUUUACGUUGGGAAUUAUUCUUAUAAAAUCUGCCCUUGUUUCAUUUGGCUCUGAUUACAUGUUGAUGAGAUUGUGGACAACUUCGUCAAGGUGCACCAACAUGAAGCCCUUUGUUGGAAAGGGCUCAGAAGAGAGAUGGAAAUGAUUAAUGGUUGGCGAACACAAGAAUCUUAGGAAUAAUUGAACACGACGUCUUCUAUAUUGGACUGUGAGGCUCCUGAGCACAGGAAGGGGCUCCGGCUGGGACGGUGCCUCCGGGGCAGUUCUCUUUGCCCCCCACCAUGGUCAACGUGUCCUCAAAGGAGCAGGGAGAACCCCUGAAGCCUGGGCCGCCCCCCACCGCUGCCAAGACCCCUCCCCGCCAGGCCUGCACGCCCCAACCCAUCCCGGAUUCACAGCUUCCCUGCCAGCCUUCCCGGGACUGCUGGGCUGUGGCCGUGUGCACCCUCCACCUCAGCUCACAACUCCUUAUCUGAUCGCCCAUGUCCUCAUCACUGAAUUGAAAACAACUCCCUUCCUCCUGGCCUGGGGUCCUUCCUCAUGGUCUGGGGUCCCUGAAGCCCUGACACGCAGCCUCUUUCUCUCUGAUUUCACCUCCUCUGUCCCCCAACUGGACACAGCACUGUGCCUUCAGGACCCACUGACCCCAUCUCCUCACAGAGACCCUGGUGUCUGGCUCUCAUGGGCCCAGCCCCCAGGAAACGUAGGCCACUGUCCUCACAGCAGGGGAGGAGGAGCAAGGACCGGCAGCCGGCGUUCUGAGGAGUGAGAUCUCUGAAUGGAGAAGGAGGCAAGCCUGCAGGCCCAGCGUGCUCCUGCAUGAUGGGCCACAACAGAAAGCUCAUAUGUGAUAUGGCUUUAAGCAGAAAACCAGGGCGGCAGGACAGCAAAGGAAGGGUCUUGGGGAAGGCCCCGAGCUGGGCAGGGACUUUGGAGUUGCUUUGUUGGGGGGCUGGCUUGUGGGAGGCUGCUUUGUGGUGGGCACGGAGCAUGGAGGUCGGGCUCAAAACCAUAUUUUACAAGCCAGCCUCCUCCCCACUGCCAGGUUGGGAAUUUGGGAGAAAGCGGCCGCAGAAGGCAUCUGGGGUCUCGGGAGAUGAGGCCGCGGACGAUUGCACUGGUCCUCCAGGCUCUUCCCCCAGCUCAUCCUUCCAACCGUCUUAGUUACUAUGGUAGCAAGAAUUUGUCAUGUUCUCUUGCUUGUUGAGGGCUUUUUUUUUCUUUUUUUUCUUUUUGAUUUCUAAAUAAAGUCUCAAUCUCACCAUGAGCUCCUGUCCACACGGAUUUGCUUCUGGCCGAGGGCUGCUCAGGACCUGGAAGGUCUGUGCGGGGUCAGCACGGUGGCCGCAGAGCCCCGGGCCGGGGGAGCCUGUGUCUCAGCCCCUCCCCACUCACACUGAAAGGUCCUCUCCUCGACCCAGAAGCAGGGGAAGGGAGAGGUGGGGUCAGGAACAUAGGCCCCUCUCUCCCACACUGGAGUUCAG